rnacentral:lncRNA from 1 species
CUCAUAACUUAUUUCACUGACUGCUACUUUAAGUGCCCCUUUUCCCACUGUCCACCUACUUUUCUUGUUUUGCUUUGUUUUUCUUUCUUUGGUCAUUCAUUUUUGUUCAUUUCUUCUAGUUUUAACAUUAAGGACAUUCUUCCUAAAGCUUGCAAAAGUGUUUAUCAUGUAACAUUUCAUAAUAUAUUCAAGUCAUUUGUGUUUAUGUUUAGGUCUUUCUACUUACUUUAUUUGUAUCUAGUAGUAGGUUUGUUCUUAAAUUUUAACAUUUAACAAGAUGACUUUGUAAUGCAAAUGUAUAGUGAGAGCUGGUUAUAGUUAAACUUGUACAGAAACACUUGUUGACAAAAUUACUACAUUAUAUAUAAUUCAUGGUGUUGUCAGACAGCAAUCACAUUGAUAUGCAAAAGCAUAUUUUCUAUUUG